CUGUAAGCCUGUGAAGGUGAGUUGAGAAGCUUGCUGGAGGUAUCAGAAGUGCGAAUGCUGACAUGAGUAACGACAAUGGGUGUGAAAAACACCCACGCCGAAAGACCAAGGGUUCCUGCGCAACGUUAAUCGACGCAGGGUUAGUCGGUUCCUAAGGCGAGGCUGAAAAGCGUAGUCGAUGGGAAACAGGUUAAUAUUCCUGUACUUCUGGUUACUGCGAUGGAGGGACGGAGAAGGCUAGGCCAGCUUGGCGUUGGUUGUCCAAGUUUAAGGUGGUAGGCUGAAAUCUUAGGUAAAUCCGGGGUUUCAAGGCCGAGAGCUGAUGACGAGUCGUCUUUUAGAUGACGAAGUGGUUGAUGCCAUGCUUCCAAGAAAAGCUUCUAAGCUUCAGGUAACCAGGAACCGUACCCCAAACCGACACAGGUGGUCGGGUAGAGAAUACCAAGGCGCUUGAGAGAACUCGGGUGAAGGAACUAGGCAAAAUGGCACCGUAACUUCGGGAGAAGGUGCGCCGGCUAGGGUGAAGGAUUUACUCCGUAAGCUCUGGCUGGUCGAAGAUACCAGGCCGCUGCGACUGUUUAUUAAAAACACAGCACUCUGCAAACACGAAAGUGGACGUAUAGGGUGUGACGCCUGCCCGGUGCCGGAAGGUUAAUUGAUGGGGUUAGCGCAAGCGAAGCUCUUGAUCGAAGCCCCGGUAAACGGCGGCCGUAACUAUAACGGUCCUAAGGUAGCGAAAUUCCUUGUCGGGUAAGUUCCGACCUGCACGAAUGGCGUAACGAUGGCGGCGCUGUCUCCACCCGAGACUCAGUGAAAUUGAAAUCGCUGUGAAGAUGCAGUGUAUCCGCGGCUAGACGGAAAGACCCCGUGAACCUUUACUGUAGCUUUGCACUGGACUUUGAGCCUGCUUGUGUAGGAUAGGUGGGAGGCUUUGAAGCGUGGACGCCAGUUCGCGUGGAGCCAUCCUUGAAAUACCACCCUGGCAUGCUUGAGGUUCUAACUCUGGUCCGUGAUCCGGAUCGAGGACAGUGUAUGGU
rnacentral:rRNA from 1 species